rnacentral:rRNA from 1 species
UACGUAGGUGACCAGCGUUGUCCGGAUUUACUGGGCGUAAAGAGCGCGCAGGCGGUCGUUCAAGUCGAGUGUGAAAGCCCCCGGCUCAACUGGGGAGGGUCACUCGAUACUGAUCGACUUGAAGGCAGGAGAGGGAAGCGGAAUUCCCGGUGUAGUGGUGAAAUGCGUAGAUAUCGGGAGGAACACCAGUGGCGAAGGCGGCUUCCUGGCCUGUUCUUGACGCUGA